rnacentral:rRNA from 1 species
UGGGGAAUUUUGCACAAUGGGGGAAACCCUGAUGCAGCGACGCCGCGUGAUUUAGAAGACCUUCGGGUUGUAAAAAUCUUUUCUAUGGGAAGAAAAUGACAGUACCAUAGGAAUAAGGACCGGCUAAUUACGUGCCAGCAGCCGCGGUAAUACGUAAGGUCCGAGCGUUGUCCGGAAUCAUUGGGCGUAAAGGGUACGUAGGCGGGUAAGCAAGUUAGAAGUGAAAUCCUAUAGCUCAACUAUAGUAAGCUUUUAAAACUGCUCAUCUUGAGGUAUGGAAGGGAAAGUGGAAUUCCUAGUGUAGCGGUGAAAUGCGCAGAUAUUAGGAAGAAUACCGGUGGCGAGGGCGACUUUCUGGCCAUAACCUGACGCUGAGGUACGAAAGCGUGGGUAGCAAACAGG